rnacentral:rRNA from 1 species
AGAGUUUGAUCCUGGCUCAUGAUGAACGCUAGCUACAGGCUUAACACAUGCAAGUCGAGGGGCAGCAGAUCGAAAGCUUGCUUUUGAUGCUGGCGACCGGCGCACGGGUGAGUAACGCGUAUCCAACCUUCCCUAUAGUAGAGAAUAGCCCGGCGAAAGUCGGAUUAAUGCUCUAUGUUGUAUUUAGAAGACAUCUGAAGAAUACCAAAGGUUUACCGCUAUAGGAUGGGGAUGCGUCUGAUUAGGUAGUAGGCGGGGUAACGGCCCACCUAGCCGACGAUCAGUAGGGGUUCUGAGAGGAAGGUCCCCCACAUUGGAACUGAGACACGGUCCAAACUCCUACGGGAGGCAGCAGUGAGGAAUAUUGGUCAAUGGACGGAAGUCUGAACCAGCCAAGUAGCGUGCAGGAUGACGGCCCUAUGGGUUGUAAACUGCUUUUAUAUAGGGAUAAAGUCGGGGACGUGUCCCCGUUUGUAGGUACUAUAUGAAUAAGGACCGGCUAAUUCCGUGCCAGCAGCCGCGGUAAUACGGAAGGUCCAGGCGUUAUCCGGAUUUAUUGGGUUUAAAGGGAGCGCAGCUGAUGAUUAAGCGUGACGUGAAAUGUAGCCGCUCAACGGCUGAACUGCGUCGCGAACCUGGUAUCUUGAGUGAGUUUCGAUGUUGGCCGGAAUUUCGUGGUGUAGCGGUGAAAUGCUAGAUAUCACGGAGACUCCGAUUGCGAAGGCAGCCAACAAGGCCUUUACUGACGCUAAG